rnacentral:rRNA from 1 species
UACGUAGGGGGCAAGCGUUGUCCGGAAUCAUUGGGCGUAAAGCGUGCGCAGGCGGAUUGUUAAGUCAGGGGUGAAAUCCUGGAGCUCAACUCCAGAACUGCCUUUGAUACUGGCGAUCUUGAGUCCGGGAGAGGUGAGUGGAACUGCGAGUGUAGAGGUGAAAUUCGUAGAUAUUCGCAAGAACACCAGUGGCGAAGGCGGGUCUCUGGACAGUUCCUGACACUGAGACACGAAGGCCAGGGGAGCAAACGGG